GCUCGGGUGGCGAAAUUGGUAUCCGCGCGUCACUUAAAAUGACGUGUCCGUAAGGACGUGCCGGUUCGACUCCGGCCCCGAGCA
rnacentral:tRNA from 1 species